rnacentral:lncRNA from 1 species
AUUAAAUCAUCCUUAUCUCAACCUGUGAGUUGUUCUUUCCUUUACUUCUUCCCCUCCUCAUCUAAGGAGGCGGAGUGAGAGAGCAGUUGUGGUGUUCAGCUGCCUAACAUGGUAAAACCACCACAACUUGAUCACACAUAGCAUGCACAGGCAAUUUGCAAGAAGGAGUUACAAAUUUGAGAGAAUACUUGCCUCCAAAAAUAGAAGCCUUGAGUAUCCAGAGAUCAUAGGAGAAAACAAACUGCCUGUGGUUAGCAUCUCCACAUUAAAACUCAAUCUGUGUUGGGAAGUGCCUAUCUUGGUCUUCAAGUAUUUCAAAGGUAAAAUAAGACCAGUGAAUGAAAGUAAACAAUUUCAGAGGAUAAUUUCACUUCAAGCAUUAUGA